rnacentral:rRNA from 1 species
GCUCCCUGAAGUUAGCGGCGGACGGGUGAGUAACACGUGGGCAACCUGCCUAUAAGACUGGGAUAACUUCGGGAAACCGGAGCUAAUACCGGAUACGUUCUUUUCUCGCAUGAGAGAAGAUGGAAAGACGGUUUACGCUGUCACUUAUAGAUGGGCCCGCGGCGCAUUAGCUAGUUGGUGAGGUAAUGGCUCACCAAGGCGACGAUGCGUAGCCGACCUGAGAGGGUGAUCGGCCACACUGGGACUGAGACACGGCCCAGACUCCUACGGGAGGCAGCAGUAGGGAAUCUUCCGCAAUGGACGAAAGUCUGACGGAGCAACGCCGCGUGAACGAAGAAGGCCUUCGGGUCGUAAAGUUCUGUUGUUAGGGAAGAACAAGUACCAGAGUAACUGCUGGUACCUUGACGGUACCUAACCAGAAAGCCACGGCUAACUACGUGCCAGCAGCCGCGGUAAUACGUAGGUGGCAAGCGUUGUCCGGAAUUAUUGGGCGUAAAGCGCGCGCAGGUGGUUCUUUAAGUCUGAUGUGAAAGCCCACGGCUCAACCGUGGAGGGUCAUUGGAAACUGGGGAACUUGAGUGCAGAAGAGGAAAGUGGAAUUCCAAGUGUAGCGGUGAAAUGCGUAGAGAUUUGGAGGAACACCAGUGGCGAAGGCGACUUUCUGGUCUGUAACUGACACUGAGGCGCGAAAGCGUGGGGA